GACGAACGCUGGCGGCGUGCUUAACACAUGCAAGUCGAACGGAAAGGCCCUGCUUUUGUGGGGUGCUCGAGUGGCGAACGGGUGAGUAACACGUGAGUAACCUGCCCUUGACUUUGGGAUAACUUCAGGAAACUGGGGCUAAUACCGGAUAGGAGCUCCUGCUGCAUGGUGGGGGUUGGAAAGUUUCGGCGGUUGGGGAUGGACUCGCGGCUUAUCAGCUUGUUGGUGGGGUAGUGGCUUACCAAGGCUUUGACGGGUAGCCGGCCUGAGAGGGUGACCGGCCACAUUGGGACUGAGAUACGGCCCAGACUCCUACGGGAGGCAGCAGUGGGGAAUAUUGCACAAUGGGCUGAAGCCUAAUACAGCAACGCCGCGUGCGGUAUGACGGCCUUCGGGUUGUAAACCGCUUUCGCCUGUGACGAAGCGUGAGUGACGGUAAUGGGUAAAGAAGCACCGGCUAACUACGUG
rnacentral:rRNA from 1 species